CUAGUGGCGGACGGGUGAGUAACGCGUGGGUAACCUGACCUCAUACAGGGGGAUAACAGUCGGAAACGAUUGCUAAAACCGCAUAAUAUAGCGAAACCGCAUGAUUUUUGCUAUCAAAAUAUUUAUAGGUAUGGAGAUGGGCCCGCGUCUGAUUAGCUAGUUGGUGGGGUAAUGGCCUACCAAGGCGACGAUCAGUAGCCGGCUUGAGAGAGUGACCGGCCACAUUGGGACUGAGACACGGCCCAAACUCCUACGGGAGGCAGCAGUGGGGAAUAUUGGACAAGUGGGGGAAACCCUGAUCCAGCCGACGCCGCGUGAGUGAAGAAGUAUUUCGGUAUGUAAAGCUCUAUCAGCAGGGAAGAUAAUGACAGUACCUGACUAAGAAGCCCCGGCUAACUACGUGCCAGCCGCCGC
rnacentral:rRNA from 1 species